rnacentral:lncRNA from 1 species
CUAGAUGGUCACUUUGAUUAAUAUAGAAAGAUUAUUUCUAUACUAUCAACUUAAAUUCGAACCUAUGGGGUCACACUCAAAAAAAAUUUCUGACUGAUCAUAUGACUGAUUGAUAAUUAAAAAUCAUUCUAGGAUAAAAUAGUCAAUUCGAUUGAUGAUUAACCCUGUGCAAAAGUUAAAAUAAAAUAAUUUGCUAAUUAUUGAUAAACUAUAGGAGGAUUGAUUAGUC